CAAGUUAUCUUAAUAGUUAAGUAUUUCAUUUACACUGGAAUAAGUUGUCGUGCAAUUCGAUAUAAUUUGA
rnacentral:tRNA from 1 species